rnacentral:tRNA from 3 species
GACCUGAUAGCUCAGUUGGUAGAGCAUCUCCCUUUUAAGGAGAGGGUCCUGGGUUCGAGCCCCAGUCAGGUCAC